GUGAAACACAUCCAGGACCAGAGCCUGUUCUUAUUAUGGUCAUCCUGUAUUCUCUCUGCAUUAUAGACGGGAAAUCGGCUCAGGAGGAUUAAUCUGUGAGUUCCAGGCUCCACAGCUAACAGGUGGUGAAGCCCGGAUCCAUGAGGAGUCUUUCCUGAUGCCAGCACUUCGCUCCCUUAUUAGAACUGCUCCACCCUGCUGGCCCUCAGCUCCACUGUGCCUGCAGCAAUAUAAGGGGGAAAGUGGUUGUUGUAAGCGUGCAAGUCGGAUGGCAAGCCUACAGAUAGAGAAAUAUGCGUUGUGGUGUUAACUCUCUCUACAGGCCUACUGGGGGUGGAAGGUGAACAGAGAGCAUCUCUGAUGAACUAUUCUGUAACUGCAGACAAAUAUGCAAGCUCAUGGACUCUUUUGAGCUCCCCAAGGACCAAAACAAUAGGUCAUUUAUUUGUUAAGAUCUGCUCUGUGAAAAAACUCACACUUCAUAUGUCAAACACCAGUUAAAAAGGCUUCUUCAGGUACGGUGCCAGAAGUCUUGACAGCCCUCCCUUUCACGUUGCCUCUGUGAUUUCUGCCAAUCCUGCCACUCCUGCACCUCUCAGCCACCUUGCCCAAGCACAGUCUGAAUAGCAAGAAGCCCUGUACUUGGAUGUAUUGUCUGGGUCAAGCUCAGAGUGUGUUCUUGUGUUUCUUUCAUCGUGGGAUAAAGAUGGAGGGCAGAGGUCAGGGGAAGCAUGUCCAAGAGAUAAAGGGCAAAUGGAGAUCUUUGAUUCAAAGCCUGCGGCUCCUUCACUUUCUCUGACAUAGAAAUCCUAUUCAUCCCACACUUCCUACCACAAAUCACUUUGGUACAACCUGACAAUACAGCAGAUACACAAGAACUUUUCCCACAUCAUAUUACAAACACAGCCACCCUCUCCGGGGAACAUCAGAGAAACUUCUGCGCUCCCACUUCCCCUCCAUUUGUUUGAAGGAUCAAGAGAACAUAGCUCCAUUUUCAACAAAAAUUAAAAAGGAAAAUCAUGAAAAGAG